GAGGAGAAGCGCAGGCGUUCAUACGCUCCUGCGCAUCGUUGCGCCGUUACUGCUGCUGUAUACCGCGAUGCGACAGUCAUACGUGGGGCGCAAGAGCGGGAGGUGCUCUCUCUCACCUUCUCGUCGAUCUCGAUCUCUCACUUUUGGGGGAAGCUCUAGACGUUCGAAAUUUGACGGUAACUCGACGAGGGACAAAGUGAGCGACGAUGCUUCGAGAGAGCGCGAACGUUUCGCGACAGAGUAACGCGCCCUCGCGCACGCCAGACGGAUUGAUGGCCGACGUGUAAGCGUGCCUUCAGGCGGCGGAAAGAAGACGAACGCGAUAAGGAGGAAGGGGAGGAGGAGGAGGAGGAGGAGGGGGAG